rnacentral:lncRNA from 1 species
AACCACAUACCCACCAUACGACUGGAAUCACACAUACACUGCCACAAGAGGUCUGCAGUGAAGGUCCCAAAGUCCCAGACAAUAAGACUGAAAGCAACACCAGCCAGUCUUGGGAAAUAUAAAGUCACAAAUAAAUUUUGAUAAUUUUUCAUUUCGUAAAGGAUCUUUCUGCUGAUGCAGCUGUUAAGAGUGUUUCAUAAACUGUGACAACACUAAGCAAAAUCAUAGAAGGAAACUCUAUGGACAAUUUCAGAUGGAGAAGAAGAAAGGACUGGAAGUUCAAUUUGGCCAUGACAAUUAGAGGCCAGGUGCAGUGCAUGUAAUCCCAGCACUUUGGGAGACUGAGAUGGGAAGAUCGCUUGAGGCCAGGAGUGCAAGACCAGCCUGGGCAACACAGCAAGACCUUGAUUCUACUAAAAAAAAAAAAGGAUCCUUCAACUUCAACAAUAAUAACACAAGGGAAGUGAAGAAAAACACUUUCUAAGGAAAUCUCUCUCUGAGCUACCAUCCUGCUAGGGAGAGCCUGAAAGCAGAAUGCUGACUUGACUAGCUCUGGUCAAUGAAAGAAAUCACCAGUGGAAAGGCUACCAGGGGGCUUUCUCAAAAGAGAGGGACAGUAAACUGCAAGAUGAACAACUCAAUGCCAUCCAGGUCUGGAUGAGAAAGAACAGUCG